AGUAUAAUCAACAUUCAAAAGCAUUUAUGGAGGAUUCAAGGUUUGAUUUCAACUAAAACAAGUACCAUGACUAGGCAGUGGGCAUUAGAGGCAGAACACUGAACUCUACAAUUUGAAGUCGCUCCUGUUUUUGUCUCUGUCCCGAGUUUCUCGCUCUGAGGGAGAAGAGCUUUGGGAGAGUAGAGAAGAACUGAUUUAUGCCACCAGAGGUUUACUGACUACAGGAAAAGAAAUCAAAGAGUUUAAAUCAAAACGAGAAGAAUGAAUCAAUCAACAAUACUAAAGAAAAAGGGGUCGAAUCCAAAUAAAGCUCAAAGUCCAUUGAAGAAUCUAGAUAUGCAAUACCGAUCAAGUGCUGAAUUGGUCAACACAUUCAAGGUUAAGAGAGAACAUGUUGCAAACGAACGCAAUAACAAAGCUAAAAAGAGCAUGCACCAAUAGCGCAUAAAAGAAGAGUUUUGAGAAUUUCAUCAAACCACAAGGAAAGAGUAAUUUGUAAACAAAUUACCGAUUCAAUCGUCUUCUAGGGAAGAACUUAGUAAUUCACAUGUGAUUGCAGGGAAAGGACUAAAUAAAUCGAGGUUAUUUCAGCCUGGAGAGUCCAUUCAAAAGAAGGGACUUAAACUUCCUAUGCAGAACUUCGGGUUCCAACCGUCGUCCAAGGAAGGUGCUACUGCUUUUGUACAUGUGACUGGAAUAACAUUAGGUAAUGAACAGAAACAACAUGAUAAUAAGGAUCUACUAAGCUGCAAACAGGUGAAGAGGAAGUUGGUCCUACCGGCCACUACUAUUGAUCAGUUUCUGGAAAAAAAAAUAAGAAGAUGAUGUUGAUCAUGAUCUACCAAACAUAAAACAGUUAAAGAAGAAGUCAGUCAUACCAGCUACUAGUAUAGAUCAGUUUUUAAAACAACAAGGGAUAGUCAUAGGUGAUGAAAGGAAAUAGGUAAACCACACAGAAAUAGAUGUCGAGUGUAUGCAUACUCCUCAUUCUAUUCAUGAACACAAUAAAGGAUUGGAUAAUCUAGAGGAUCAUGAAUAAAUCGACAAGGAUGAGUGUGCUAUAAACGAGGAAGAUGACAUUGAUUGUAGUGCAAAAGGUUUUCGAAGAAAAAAAAGGCUCGAGGACAAACAACAUGUAAGCAUUUUCAUGCAAGAAAUUCGGAAGAAAGGGAGGAGGUGACAUUUGAUAAAGAACAAGCAGUUGGUCUCACCGGUAAGAUAGUGUCGGAAUUAACCAAUUUUAUUAGAACAAUUGCAAGGAAUCCUAGAUUCAUCAGCUUGAUGUACAUUACUUGGCAUACGGUGCCAAAAGAUAUUAAAAAGCGCAUGUGAAAAUAUAUCAAUUCCAAAUUCCUAAUCCCAAUAGAAGGAAAGAAGUGGGUGAUGACUGCUCUUCGUGAUGCUUGGAGGCAACACAAACAUGUGAUUAAAGAGAGAUAUUUUGAUAAAAAAUAGUACUGUUGAGGAUAUGCUAGCGAAACGUCUUGAUGACAUUCCAGAAGUUCAUUUCCGCCAGUUGAUCUAGUAUUGGCAACACCCAACUGUUCAAGCUAUAUCUGAGGUGAAUUCUAAAGCAGGAAGUUACAAAAGUGGAGGCAUCGAAUGGGACCAAUUAAUUUUGCAAGACGUGUAGCAUAGAAAAUAACGAGGAACCAUCACAAUCUGAAAUGUUUAUCGCAACUCGUACAAAGACGGGAAAGGAAAUUCAGCCUGAUACCAAAGUCGCAACAGUUUGAACUUCAAAAUCGUCAACAUUCCGGAGAAACAGUUGAUGAUGCCUUCAGGGCAGUGUUUGGAAAGGAGCAGCCUGGACGACUUAGGUGCUAUGGACAAGUUCUCUAAAAGAAGAUGAGGAAAUUAACAAGAUGAAAACAAAAGCAUGCUAAUGAAAUCAGUUUCUCUGAAGGAAGAAAUGAAUGAAGAAAUGAAUGAAAAAAUGAAUGAAAUGAGAGAUGAAAUGCACCUUUUUUAGUCAAUUGCUGCAAAACAAUCCUUGGUUGAAUGUUCAAGAUAUACCAGGGGUUGUUGGAUCUAACCUUGUUUCACCUGUUGAUGCAAGUAGUGCACAAGCUUUAAGAGUCCAGAAUAUUCCAAAUUCUUCAGGGUCAACUCACAAUUCAAUUCUUCAAAAGGGGAAUAUAGGUGCUCAAAUUCGAAGAAUCUCCACAAGAUAAUUUGAUCUCACUGCAUUUAAAGUGGAUGAUCAAUGAAGAGUUUUUGAACCAUUGCAAAUGUUUGAAUACUUUUUGAACUAUUCACGUGUACACAUAUAUUUAGAAUAUUGUUUUAUAAGUAUGUGUAUGUACACAAGCCUAUCAUUUUGAAGUUUAUUGCAAUUUUUUAUAUUUGAACUA